CAGGACCAUGAAAACUCAUUCACCUGGGCAAGUUUUACCAUGACAGCACAAAACUGGGGGAGUUAUUCCACACUUGAAGGAAGAGAAAAGCAUCCUGGAAGAGAUAAUGCCCAAACUGGAACCUGGAGGAUGAGGAUUUAACCAAAUGAAAUAUAGAGAUGAUGGGUCCUUGUGUAAUGGCUGCAGCUCCUGGAAAUACGUGCUCUACCAAGCCUAAGGUCACACACCUGGCUAUUGGCAGUCAGACUGGAUGCAGAUCCCAAAUCCAUCAUGUACUAGUUGUGUUAACUUAGACAACUUACAAAGCCUCUCUGUAUACUGCACAGCACAGCCAUAAGGUGAAGAGACAGGGCCAUUUCAUCCUGGCUGGAUUCCUCUCUCUCUGCUGUUGGGGAACAUGGAGCCUUGAACUCCCAACAUUUAUAAUAACGUUUAACAACAAGCGAAGAGCCCUGGUCAGAUUUCUGGAGAGAAAAGCAGUGGGAGGUUGGAAGUUACCAUUUUAUUCUUGCUUAGGAAAUGAAGCUUUUUAUUUUUUCUAGCAAUGUUGUCUCUACUGAGUUUCCUAUCAGGAAAUAUGAAGCUGGUGAUAGCCUGUUGCUGAAAUAAAGUUCAGAUUUUUUUUUUC